GGGUUGCAAAGAGUCAGAAUGACUAAAUGGCCAAGCACAUGCAUGCACAUCAGACUGUAAGGAGUUUCUAUUUUAUUUUUCCAUCUCAUGGCUCAAUAGUCUAGAUCAAGGAUCACAACCUUUGACCCAUGGGCAAAAUCCAGCCCACGGCCUCCAGUAUUUGUGGGAAGGAUGAUGAAAUCCACAAGAGAAGAUAUUGAACUUGAAUGUUAUUCCCAUCAGUUUCUGAGAUAUGAAGGCAGAAAAAGAAAAAAGAGAAAAAUUGGGAGAAAAAGCAUCCUGAGAAGUCUUUCCGCUCCACCUCUGCAAUGUUUCAAGUGUGAAAGUUGGUUAAUGCUUAAUACUUCUUACCUUGGGGUUGUGGAUACCUGUGGUUUAAGGCAUUAGAAAAGCGAUCAGCUUGCUCUGGAUGAAAUUGCUGCAGAAUAAACAGCCUUACA